AGCGGGGUGUGUGAUCGCGGGCGCGGGCACAGUGUGCCGGCGCGUGAGGAAAGUCCGGGCUUCAAAGGGCAGGAUGCCGGAUAACAUCCGGUAGGGGCGACCCUCAGGCCAGUGCAGCAGAAAUAUACCGCCGCAGCAUCUGCGGUAAGGGUGAAAAGGCAGUUUAAGAGACUACCGCCUCCGCGGUAACGAGGAGGGCACAUGUAAACCCCAUCCGAAGCAAGACCAAGCAGGAGACGCAAGGCGGCCCGUCUUAUCUCCGGGUAGGUCGCUUGAGUCCGGCGGUAACGUCGGAUCUAGAUAGAUGAUCACACUCGACAUAACCCGGCUUAUAGCCCCGCUCAU
rnacentral:RNase_P_RNA from 1 species